UACGAAGGGGACUAGCGUUGUUCGGAUUUACUGGGCGUAAAGCGCGCGUAGGCGGAUCGCUAAGUCAGGGGUGAAAUCCCAGGGCUCAACCCUGGAACUGCCUUUGAUACUGACGAUCUGGAGAUCGGGAGAGGUUGGUGGAAUUCCGAGUGCAGAGGUGAAAUUCGUAGAUAUUCGGAGGAACACCAGAAGCGAAGGCGGCCAACUGGCCCGAUACUGACGCUGAGGCGCGAAAGCGUGGGGAGCAAACAGG
rnacentral:rRNA from 1 species